CAGUAGCCACGGUAAUACGUAGGGUGCGAGCGUUAAUCGGAAUUACUGGGCGUAAAGCGUGCGCAGGCGGUUUUGUAAGACAGAGGUGAAAUCCCCGGGCUCAACCUGGGAACUGCCUUUGUGACUGCAAGGCUAGAGUACGGCAGAGGGGGAUGGAAUUCCGCGUGUAGCAGUGAAAUGCGUAGAUAUGCGGAGGAACACCGAUGGCGAAGGCAAUCCCCUGGGCCUGUACUGACGCUCAUGCACGAAAGCGUGGGGAGCAAACAGGAUUAGAUACCCGCGUAGUCCCUGUCUCUUAUAC
rnacentral:rRNA from 1 species